CUUUAAAAAAAGCAUUUUAAUUUUGCACAAGUCAAAACUUGUCCAGCUGUUUGGAAACUACAGUAAUGAGAAAUAUGUUUUAAAACAUAACCCUUUUUUUGUUUUAUUCAUUAUAAAGAAAUCAACAAAAAAAAAAUGACCAUGUUUGUUAAUGACUUCUUAUUAAGUGCAUUGCCUAAGGAGAACCAAAAUUUUUUUUAAAAUAUGGUUGUAAAAUUGUAGUAAAAUAAAAUACAAAAACUUUGUACAAAAUAAAUCUUGAAAAACAAAAAUAUAUAUAAAUGCAAAUCAAUGAUUGGACUUCAUCAAAUUAAUACUUCUAUUACUCCAUUGAGCAUAGGUUAGACCUUUUUUUUAAAAAAAUAUUGCACUCAAUAAAAAAAAAAAGACUUGAAAAACUUGAGUCAAUAGCCAAAGUGACUGUGGCCUACAAUAAAACUGAUGUUUGUCAAGUGUUUGGACUACAGCAGACAGAGAAAAAGAGAAGAGCAUGUUCACAUCACAUUGCAGAGAGGAAACCUUUUCAACAGACGACUAAACAUACAAUAAUCUUUUCAUUGAUGAAUUUUUAAAUCCAGAUCAACUAACAAAAUCACAGUUAUCUGUCAUAUAAAAACUGUCAUCAAUCUACCAUCAGGAAACAGAAACAUAACCUUAUUUGAACACCCUGGCAAGUGAAGACAUGAGACACAUGGUGAUGUAUAGUCUACUAUUUCAUUCUACACUUGGGGUGUAGUUAAGUGUUUCUGAUCACAAUUAGCUAUUUAAAAACAUUGGAGAGCAUAAAAACAUUUUUUUUCAUUACAAGAUAGCAUUGCAAUCAUUGGACUACAACUCAAAGUAGGCCUAUGCUGUUGCUAGACAAACAAUAGACUAGAGCUCAGUAGACUUAUGUUGUUGCUAGACAAACAC